UACGUAGGGUGCGAGCGUUAAUCGGAAUUACUGGGCGUAAAGCGUACGCAGGCGGCGUCGCAAGUCGAGUGUGAAAGCCCCGGGCUUAACUUGGGAAUUGCGCUCGAAACUACGAUGCUGGAGUGUGGCAGAGGAAGGUGGAAUUCCACGUGUAGCGGUGAAAUGCGUAGAGAUGUGGAGGAACACCAAUGGCGAAGGCAGCCUUCUGGGCCAACACUGACGCUCAUGCACGAAAGCGUGGGGAGCAAACAGG
rnacentral:rRNA from 1 species